rnacentral:lncRNA from 1 species
UCACUGGUUUUUUAUACUUUGGGUGCAGGUUAACCGCUUGGAUGCGAGUUGCUUAGUUCGGGGCUUGCUUGGAAUCUUGGAUGAUAAAAUGCAAUGGAGCUGUUUCGGACUUUGUCGCAUUGGCUCAUGUUGUGUAAUAGUAGAAAUGUAUGAGAUUAUUGAAUUUGAAGUGUGAUGAAAUGGUUGUAAUGGUUAUGUAGUUUAUGAAAUGUAUGUGGUAAUGUUACCUUGUAACCUUGGAUUAGAAAUUGUAGUGGUUGUAUAAUGGUAUUGGUUUAGAAAUGAACAUGUAAUUAGGUUUUGGCUGUAAUUUGAACUUGAUUGAAGUGAUUGUAAAGAAUAAGAAUGGUUGUAACUUGGUUUAUGGAAAUGGAUAUUUGGUUAUAAAAAUGGAUAUGGAUUUUAGAAAUAAUCCAAGACUCAUCUAAAUGUCAAUUUAAAAUCAAAAAACCAAUAAAACCAA